AUAUAUGUAAAUGAAAGCUUGGUGCCUCCUUCUCCUUUCUCUCUGUGGUAAUUUCUUCUCUUCCCCUAAUCUCUUCUUCUUAUAAAUUUUGUUUCUAACCCUCCGACCUUCUUCUUCUCUUUCUAUGCCUAGUAUUCUUUGAUUGCUACUGUUUACAAUUAGAUUAUUUGAAGUCCCCUUACCCUGAAAAUUUGAGAAUUGAUCACAACCCUCUCUUAGAUUUUCCAGUUGUCCCUAUUCCAGAAAUCAUUUGAUUUCCUGGACUAGAAAAGCUACAUUGACUGUUGAAUUGAAAUCAUGCAAGAUCGGGAGGUCCCAUCCCUCGUCGGAUCUAAUCCACGCAUGAUUUGAAUACGGUACUGCAAGAUUGUGAUGAUGGUCUUCAACCAUUGCAUGUUUCCUUUGUUAUUGUCUUUAAUAUGAUGUGGAAUGUUGAAUAUUUCAAUUGAUUUGCUUAGUUUAUUUCACUGGAUAAUUUAUGUGCUCACUCAUGCAUUUUCGUUUAGACCGUCAUGCAUCAGUUGAUCUUUUUGUAUACUUUUGUAUAUUUAUGCAAUUGAUGCUAUAUAUAGCUUCACUUGUUAAGGUGUUUUUGCACACUGUGAUUCUUGAUAGCUCCUCAAUAGUCUAUAUUGUAAUGCUAUUUUGGUCUUUGUUUCUUUGCUAUUUCUGUGUGAGUAGGUUUAAAUUGAUGAGUAUGGGAAUCAGGAAGUUUGAUUUAUAUGUUGUGGAAUUUUAAUAGGUCCACUAUAUUGGAUGAAUAAUUACAAUUGGCUCUUUCAGUUUUACUGUGGUUUGGGAUUUUUUGCUUUGUUUUUCUCCUUGAUAUCUUACUGAAUUUGUUACAUUGAUUAAAUGUGGUAUGAUGGAUUUUAUUUAUCAAUGUUGAUCAAGUAAAUGCUCUUAUUAGACAUUGUCGCAGUUCUUGCCUGCCCUUAGCUUUAAUUGGUAUGUCUACUGAAUGUUGAUGAAGAGAUGUAUCUUGGCACAGUGGGGAUUGAUAUCUAGGAUCCUCUUUUUUGCAAACUAGCAAGUUGACAUCGUUCAAUAGGUUGGUGAAUUUUCAUACCUUUUCGGUCCCUUUUCCAUGAAGAUGGUUCUUCUUAUAUGAGAUGGGAUUCCAGAUUUCAUUUGAAAACAUUACAUGUUUAAAAUUUCCGCUGACAAUAAAAAUGGAAGAAUCCGAAGUUAAAAUAGAGAUGUAGCAAAUAUUUGGUGGGUAGAGAAGUACAGCAAAUUGCAUAUGGAAACAUCUAUAUUUGAUUAGGAGCUGGUUUUGGACUUGGACAGGUAAGAAAUCUUAUCCAAAACAUGUUAGAUGGUUCAGUGCAGUGCUUGUAGAGGGAUCGAGGUAUGGUUCGAAAACCAGGUUGAUUGGUGCAACGUAGGAGGCUGAUUGCACAAAUCAGUCAUCUAAUCCACAUAAUCCUAAACACAACGUUAAAAAUUCCAUUAAAAGGAGACGAAGGAGAAGGAAACACUAGCAAAAGGUGGAGAUUACCUCUAGGAUUUUGAUAACCACACCCUACAAGAGAAGACCCUCUCAAAAACUUUUAUUUUUUCUACUGGAUUUUAUUAAAACAAAGUCACUCCAAAUGCAGCAGGUAAAAAGCAGAGAUGUUGAGCUAUCAUUCCCAAAGGAGCCAAGGUAUUAAAAAACAGUUACUAAUAAGGAUGCGUUGAUUGCAGAAGUGAAGAAAUAAGCAUCUGUAGCCCCACUGUGCGAGCAGGGAUCUAAGGGGUUCCUUGGCAAUUGACAGUUCAGUCAGCAGUGAGUUCUGAUACAGAGAUUCCUCUGAACUUGGGCAAGUGCACAUCCCAGUCCACCACCAUUAACUGAACUGCUGUAAUCAAGCAUUCCACCCUAGCUUCUUUGCCUUCUACGAUCUGCCUUCUUCCAGAUUGGCCACAUAAUAGCAAAUGACACAAUUUUCCUAAGGAUAGAACCUCUAGGAGAGAAGUGACCUUUCCCCCAUCCAUCAAACAGAUCUAAAAAGGUGGCAUCAGUCAUCAAAUAAAGAACACAUCUGCUGAGUAUAAACUUCCUUGAACAGCUGUCCGCUUUGCAAUGAAGAAAAAGGUGAUUGCCCGACUUUUCCUCCUCUCACAUCAAACACCUGUUUGGAACUGCCAUAUUACUUUUCUUAAGGUCAUCAGCUGUGAGCACUCUGUUUGCCAUUGCAAUCCUCAGUGGCACAUUCAUGACCCACAGUCUAGUGAGCAGAGAUGGAGCAUCAUUGAUAGAGAUUCUUGACCCAUGUUUUAGCAAGCUGAUAUGGAGUCCAAAAAAGACUUUGGAGAGAAGUGGUAGUCCUUUGUACAUUUCCAAACUUUCCUAUUGGCUUUGGAACUAACCACGUGUAUUAUAGAGCUUCUCCAUCGGCCUUCUAAAGGAUGCAACUUUCUCCUCAUAGAGAUUCUGACACAUAGUCACAUUCCAAUGUACCGCACCACCAUUGGUAUCAUAGCAUCCUGCAAUCAAUGCAUCCUUAUUAGUGGACAGCUUGAAGAGAGUGGCGAAAGACUCUGCUAGAGUGGUAUUGUGAACAAAAGGAUCAUGCCAGAAUCUCAAUCUCUCGCGAUGACCCGAGAGUAUUGGAUUCCUCCACUGAGCAGGCCGCCCAUUCUUUGGGAGAUAUUGCAACUUACAACGAGGUUUGCUCUUCCCAACCUAUGGCUUUCUACCCAUCUGAAGGUCUGUUCCUCUUAGGAUUUCCAGGAAAGCAACCCCCUUCAGAUGCACCAUAUUUCCAAUGGAUCACAGAUUUCCAUAGCACUUCUUGCUCUUCACUAAACCGCCACCAGCAUCUGCUCAGAAGGGCCCAGAUUUUUCUCUCUCACAUCUCCCACUCCCAACCCUCUCAUUUCUCUUUGAUUUUUUGCACUUCCAUUCAAUAAGGAGGGUUUCACGGCCCUCAUUUUCUUUCUCGUGGAAAAUCCCUUUCAACUUUUAAGUGUUACUUUGCUAUCUUCAGCAGCAUCCUGUAGAGAUAAGACACUGGGAGAUUUGCCAGAGCCAAUUUAAUUACUACAAUUGUGCCUCCAAAUGAUCAAUAGAUUUUCUUCACCUGCCAUUCUUUUCUGUAUCCUUUCAACCAUAGGGUUUCAAAGACCCUGAAUUCAAGUGUUUGCCACCUUGAGGCAGCCCAAGAUAUUUAAUUGGAAGGCUGUCUUUCCUGCAUCCCAUCCUGUUCGCCAACUCCUCAAUACAUCCCUCGCUGGUCUCAACUCCAGCUUUUACACUUCUCCUAACAUUAAUCUGAAGCCCCGAUUCAACCUCAAAACAUCUAAGAAUUCCUUUCAAGUACUUUACUUGAACCAAAUCUGCAUUGCAUGAGACAAGCAUAUCAAUGCGAAACUGAAGGUGGGAGAUAGACAAACUAAUGCCUGAGCCUUUAAUGAAUCCAAGGUUAGCUGCUUUUCCCAAGUGCAUUUCCAAGCUCUCGUCCACAAGCUGGGGAUAGAGGGUCACCUCACCAGAACCUUCAAGAACUCAAGAGCAAUAUGGAGACCCAUUGACCCAUUAGAGAACACUGCUGAUGAGAUGCAGCCCUUGAUCCACCUAAUCCACUUCACUCUGCUAACCCCAUCCUUGCAUGGAAUAAAGAAGGAAAUCCUAGUCCACAUGGUCAUAUGCUUUCUCCAUGUCAACUUUACACAAUGUCGGCUUCCCCCCCUCGUCAAAUCAAUGCAUUCCUCACAUAUGUGGCCCUGGUUGGAACAUGUUUAGACCACUGGAUAAAUUAUUGGGGGCUAGAUCAGCCCUUGAGCUGCAUCAUUGAUUUGAAUCCAAGUCACCAAGUUUGACUUGAGUUGUGCCUUGGAGAGGCUUGGUAUUACUUCAAUAUGAACUCGACCCUAAAUGAAUGAUUUAUUACACUUCGAUACUUAUACCUUCUUUUUUUUUUUUUGAAAGAUACUGAAUUUAUUGAAGCCGAAAAAAAAAGAAGGAAACAAA